UAUUAUAUAUAUACUACUUUAUCGUUAUAAAUAUGUUCAUAUAUUAUAUAUAAAAUAUUCCAAAUUGACUUAUAUGAAAAAAUUGCGAGUCGAUCCAUGGUUUUUAUUGUAUUUGUAAAAUACGUAUAUAUCUGUACGUAAAAAAGAGCAUACAUAAAAUACAAUGCAUACUACCUAAAAAUUAGUAUAUGACUACCUAAACAUUCUUAUAUACUACAUACUACAUACACAUACUCUCCGAUUUGAUAGAUACUAUUCUAAUCACGGCACCCAUAUAUAUAGGACAACACUAUUCUAAUCACGGCACCCAUAUAUACACAUAUAUAGGUGGCGAUCGGGUUAUUCCCGAAACUCCCGAACGCGGUGCGAGAAAAAGAAAAAUCCUACCCCAUGAGCUCUGGUCCACCACCUCCCCAUCCCCAUUCUUCCUCGAUCCCAUCGCCGCCCAUCUGCCGACCCACCAUGGCCUCUUCCUCGGCUCCGCCACGAACGCGCCGGAAGCACCCCACCGCCGCAUCCCUACCAUUGCUGCUGCCCCGCGCCCUGCUUCCCGGCCGCCGGUGCCGCCAUCCACCUGGCUCGUGGCCGCCGACAUCCACCCGACGCGGUAGCCGCCGCCAUCCAUCUUGUGCGGCCUCAACCGCCGCCAUCCAACCCGCUCACUGACCCUGCCAACCAUCUUGCACGGUUGCUUCCGCCACCGACCCUCCGCGGCCGCAGCUUCCAAGGAGCCAACCUCCUUGACGGGGGAUCCAGCGACCGGCCGCAUGCGCCGCCCCUACUCCUUCAGGCGAAGCGUCCAGGCACUUGCGGCUUGUGCCAUUGGCCUCUCGGCCGCCGCCCCUAGCCAUCCUCUCGUGUGGCCUUCCUGAACGCCGCUCAUCGAACUUCCCCGUCGCCCCUUCUCCUUGCUGUGACGCCGCCACGCCUGGUCCCAGCUUGCCGGGUUCUCCCCCUCGCAACCCUCUGAUCCCCCAGGAGGGCCGGCCUCCCUCCGUGCUACUUGUUCCCCUCCGCCUUCUGCUACAUGGGCAACGCCUCGCCCCUCCAAACUCCGGCGGGGACAUCACACCUCCACAGCCGCCACCCUGUCCGCCGCCUCUGUCGGAGGCUAGCCACAACGGAGGGUCCAGGCUCUAGCGAGGGAAGCGAAGGUGUUGCUUCAGCCUACGGCCGUCCCUGUCGCUGCUCAUAGUCGACCCCGACCUUCUCUGGUUGCCUGGACAGAACUCCCUUUGCCAUUGAGCGCAAGCACUGCCUGUAUUUCUUCCACGACCAAGCCACUAUGCUCAUCUUCAGUUUCGUGUGCACUUGUUGCAUAACAGUAGCGAACCACAAGACGGCGUUGGCAGGUGGAUGUGUUGUAUCAGAACAUGAAGCACUGGUGCAAGCUAGUCCCAUGCGGAGCUACUAGUGCUUCUCUUUUUGUAAUUGAUUAGCUGCUGCUGUUGUCCUAGGUUUUUUUAAUCUUAAAUUAUUUCCGUUUCUAGGAAGUGUAUGUGUUGGUCGUGCAUGUAGCACGUGAAGUGUAUGUGUUUUGUUGUGCAUAAUUUUCUUGAUUUUCAAUAGCACGUGAAGGUCAUGUUUCAGAAA